UCACACUGGCGAUGGUGCUGGGCCUGGGCAGGGUACGCCAUUUUCUUGGAACGCCAAGAGGCUCUGAGUGAGCUGACUUUCACUUUCCUUCAAGAGGUUAGCGAGAGCGAGGCGAGAGGAUAGAAUGGAUGUACCGAGGAAAUAUUAGCAGAAACCGUAACUAGUUGUUUAGGGCAUAGUUAACCUCUGGUUCGUCUGAAUCUUUGUGUAAGAGCCGUUCAAGCCACCUGCAAGCCAAGCUCCUUCACGGAAUUGUGAAGAAAAAUGCUGCAGCAAAAUUUAACAGCUGGCAGUUAGUGAUGACAUCGGCGCAUGACUCAAGAGAAAUAAAAUAAAGUACAUGAGGAUGAGUGUUGUGCACAUAUCAUUUGAUGCCUAUACCAAUCACUUGUUUACACAAUAAUGUCUUUGCUUGGUGCCCUAAAGAAGAAUAGAGGACCUCCAGAAGAAAAGAAGCGCCGCCAAGAGGGAAGAAAAAAGAACUAAAGAAGAAAAGAAAAAAAAGAACUAAAGAAGAGAAAAAAAAAAGGACCGAAGAUAGAAGAAAAGCAGAGAGCAAAAAAGGGUAUACAGAGAGAAAGGAGAGUAGUAUGGGGAUGAGGUGAUUUCUAGUCUUCAUCAUGUGGAAGCUUGCUUGAAGAAAGAGGAGAAGGGAAAAAAAUGCUAAAAGCUCAAAACCAGUUGAAUCUCUCUUCGAUCUCAUCUGUUGCAUUUAAUUUCUCUCUGAAUUUGUAAUUUUGUUGAA